rnacentral:rRNA from 1 species
AGUACGAGAGGACCGGAGUGGACGGACCAAUGGUGUACCAGUUAUACCGCCAGGUGUACAGCUGGGUAGCUACGUCCGGAACGGAUAAACGCUGAAAGCAUCUAAGCGUGAAACCGGCCUUAAGAUGAGGUCUCUCACAGUGAAGACUGGUAAGGCCCCUUGUAGAAGACAAGGUAGAUAGGCCAGGAGUGUAAGGCGGGCAACCGCUUGAGCGGACUGGUACUAAUCGGCCGAGGGCUUGACCUAA